rnacentral:lncRNA from 1 species
GAACCUUUCUUAAUCUCCCAACUAAUCAAAAAGAACAACAACCAAAAAAUAGUUGUAACUAACUCCCAACAACCCAAGAGGAUGAAGAAGAAGAAAAAACCAACAACUUGGCACCAACCCUUGACACCAAGGAGAGAUGCCACCCACCUCUCUUCUAGCUCCAACAAGGGGAUGUCUAGAGAGAGAGGGUAUGGGCUAG